rnacentral:rRNA from 1 species
AUACAUGCAAGUCGAACGGAAAGGUCUCUUCGGAGAUACUCAAGUGGCGGACGGGUGAGUAACACGUAGGAAUCUGCCCCAGAGUGGGGGACAACCAAGGGAAACCUUGGCUAAUACCCCAUAUGGCGUGAGCUGAAAGUUUUUUCGCUCUGGGAGGAGCCUGCGCUUGAUUAGCUAGUUGGUGAGGUAAUGGCUUACCAAGGCAACGAUCAAUAGCUGUUCUUAGAGGAAGACCAGCCACAUUGGGACUGAGACACGGCCCAAACUCC